GAUGAACGCUGGCGGCGUGCCUAAUACAUGCAGGUCGAGCGAACGGACGAGAAGCUUGCUUCUCUGAUGUUAGCGGCGGACGGGUGAGUAACACGUGGAUAACCUACCUAUAAGACUGGGAUAACUUCGGGAAACCGGAGCUAAUACCGGAUAAUAUUUUGAACCGCAUGGUUCAAAAGUGAAAGACGGUCUUGCUGUCACUUAUAGAUGGAUCCGCGCUGCAUUAGCUAGUUGGUAAGGUAACGGCUUACCAAGGCAACUAUGCAUAGCCGACCUGAUAGGGUGAUCGGCCACACUGGAACUGAGACACGGUCCAGACUCCUACGGGAGGCAGCAGUAGGGAAUCUUCCGCAAUGGGCGAAAGCCUAACGGAGCAACGCCGCGUGAGUGAUGAAGGUCUUCGGAUCGUAAAACUCUGUUAGUAGGGAAGAACAUAUGUGUAAGUAACUGUGCACAUCUUGACGGUACCUAAUCAGAAAGCCACGGCUAACUACGUG
rnacentral:rRNA from 1 species